CUAAGCCAUGCGAGUCAUUGUAGCAAUACAAGGCGGACGGCUCAGUAACACGUAGUCAACCUAACUCGUGGACGUGGAUAACCUCGGGAAACUGAGAAUAAACCACGAUAGAUCAUAGUGCCUGGAAUGGCUUAUGGUCCAAACAGUUUACUGCCAUGGGAUGGGACUGCGGCCUAUCAGCUUGUUGGUGAGGUAAUGGCCCACCAAGGCGAUUACAGGUACGGGCUCUGAGAGGAGAAGCCCGGAGAUGGGUACUGAGACACGGACCCAGGCCCUAUGGGGCGCAGCAGGCGAGAAACCUUAGCAAUGUGCGAAAGCACGACUGGGUCAGUCCGAGUGAUUCCUGAUAAAGGAGUCUUUUGCCUGUCCUAAAAGCACAGGUGAAUAAGGGGUGGGCAAGUCUGGUGUCAGCCGCCGCGGUAAUACCAGCACCUCGAGUGGUCAGGACGGUUAUUGGGCCUAAAGCAUCUGUAGCCGGCUCUGCAAGUCUUCGGUUAAAUCCACCUGCUCAACAGAUGGGCCGCUGGAGAUACUACAGAGCUAGGGAGUGGGAGAGGCAGACGGUAUUCAGUGGGUAGGGGUAAAAUCCUCUGAUCCAUUGAGGACCACCAGUGGCGAAGGCGGUCUGCCAGAACACGUUCGACGGUGAGGGAUGAAAGCUGGGGGAGCAAACCGGAUUAGAUACCCGGGUAGUCCCAGCUGUAAACGAUGCAAACUCGGUGAUGCAUUGGCUUAUGGCCAAUGCAGUGCCGCAGGGAAGCCGUUAAGUUUGCCGCCUGGGAAGUACGGACGCAAGUCUGAAACUUAAAGGAAUUGGCGGGGGAGCACCACAGGGGGUGAAGCCUGCGGUUCAAUUGGAGUCAACGCCAGGAAUCUUACCCGGGGAGACAGCAGAAUGAAGGUCAAGCUG
rnacentral:rRNA from 1 species